UACGUAGGGUGCGAGCGUUGUCCGGAAUUAUUGGGCGUAAAGGGCUCGUAGGCGGUUUGUCGCGUCGGGAGUGAAAUCCACUGGCUUAACUGGUGGCUUGCUUUCGAUACGGGCAGACUGGAGGUAUGCAGGGGAGAACGGAAUUCCUGGUGUAGCGGUGAAAUGCGCAGAUAUCAGGAAGAACACCAAUGGCGAAAGCAGCUCUCUGGGACGGUACUGACGCUGAGACGCGAAAGCGUGGGGAGCAAACAGG
rnacentral:rRNA from 1 species